rnacentral:rRNA from 1 species
CCUACGGGUGGCAGCAGUGGGGAAUAUUGGACAAUGGGGGGAACCCUGAUCCAGCCAUGCCACGUGUGUGAAGAAGGCCCUCGGGUUGUAAAGCACUUUCAGUGAGGAAGAACGCCUGGUGGUUAAUACCCAUCAGGAAAGACAUCACUCACAGAAGAAGCACCGGCUAACUCCGUGCCAGCAGCCGCGGUAAUACGGAGGGUGCGAGCGUUAAUCGGAAUUACUGGGCGUAAAGCGCGCGUAGGUGGCUUGAUAAGCCGGUUGUGAAAGCCCCGGGCUCAACCUGGGAACGGCAUCCGGAACUGUCAAGCUAGAGUGCAGGAGAGGAAGGUAGAAUUCCCGGUGUAGCGGUGAAAUGCGUAGAGAUCGGGAGGAAUACCAGUGGCGAAGGCGGCCUUCUGGACUGACACUGACACUGAGGUGCGAAAGCGUGGGUAGCAAACAGGAUUAGAUACCCCGGUAGUC